UUCAUUUUGGCGUCACUUUGACAGCGAAUAACUUAACAUGAGGCGUUUAAAGACUCCAUUUGUCCAUUAAUUAUUUCUAAAGAAUAACUUUUAUAAUGUAUUAAAGGCUCCAUUACCUUGUAUCUUACUUUAUGUAAGAUACAAGGUAAUGUAUCUUAUUUAAAAAAAAAAUAGGCUAACGAUUGCUUAAUAACCAGCGACUCUCUGUCGCACAGUAGAGAAAUUACCCUAUGGACAGGAGGAGAAGCUCGCAGGCAAUCUUUUACUGUCUAUGAGGCUAUCGGGGGCGACGUGGAGGUAUAAAAAAGUCAAAGGAGAUAAUUAAUCAGAAUACUGUUUGUAUUCUGUUCGCGCCAGAAACGGAAGUGCUAAAAAUAGCUAAAAAUGGGCUUCACUUGUCUCAAUUGAGUUCCAAUGGGGUCGCUGUGUCAAUUUCUUUUACUGAAUAUGGUCCGCAGCAGCGAGAUGGUGGGGACAGAUGGCAGUGGAGUAAGCAUGAGAAAGAAAAAGAAAAAAGCGGAAGAUAAAACUAUUUGAAUGAAGUCAUCCAAAGUUUGGGAGAACUUUACUUUGAGCCUUCAAAAAAGAAGGGUAACCUGUAAACUCUGUACUACUGAACUAACUGUUUAAGACUUUUAUUUGUGCAGAUUCUCCAGUACAAUGUUGUUUGCAAAUGUUUAGUCAUUUAAAGCUGAUAACAUUGCUUUUUAAAGGGGUGGUAAAACACGGUUUUUCGAAGGCUUGAUUGUGUUUGUGGGGUGCACUGUAACAUAUGUUCAUGCUUCGUUUUUUAAAAAAAUGCAUUAUUUUUCAUAUAUUUUACCUUUACUCUACACUGCUCUGUCCCUCCUUGUAAAACGGUCUGAUGGUUUCCGGGUUCUAUGAAGCCAGUCCCACAAAAAUAGCAAUGGGCUCAGAUUGGUUAGCUGCCCCAGUGUGUUGUGAUUCGCUAACCGACUAGCGAAUCACAACACACUGGGUGUGUUUUUCGGUAACGUCAUGCCCCUUACCUUUACCAGUAGUCUGUGCUUUGGGGGUAUUCGAAACAAUGGCGUCAAUAAAACCAUACCAAUUUGAGCCCGAAUCGGACCCAGAAAAUUUUGAUGAAGAUGAUCGAGCAUUUCCUGUUCAAGAACGGCUGUUAAAUGACGUUUCAGAAUGUUAUGUUUUUUAUUGUUGUGAUCUAAUACUUUUUUAGAUACGCUGUUAUUUAAUUGUACUAAUUAUAAUAGUUGAUAUUGAAUUUAUAACAAUAAUAAGUGUUUGUCUAUUAACAAAAGUAUUCAAGAACCUUUUUUAUUUUAAAAAAUAUAUAUAUUUUAUUAGGUGUACAUGUAAUAACUGUGCAAAAAUGCCAAAUGAAGAGGAAAACAUCUGCUGCAAAGAAAUACAGAAGGUAGUGUAAUAAGCUAGUACCAAAAUUAUGCAUAACGUGUUAAUAGUUCUGUAUAAUCCUUUUUUCAUAUUUAAAAGAUGAACAUAGGUUAAUUGUACAGUAUGUUCUCAUUGUCUUACAUUACUGUUUAGGUUGUAAAACGAAUGAUGGAGGUUCCAGACCCUCCUAAAUAUAUGGUUGAGCAUCCAGGUUUUGAACCAAACUGCUUAAAUCCGUAUACUUUGCAAAAUAUCAAUAAUAUUUAGAGCCGACUAUGGACCAGUGAGACGCAGAAAUGAGGAGGAGCGCUUCCGUUAUCUGGCCUAUCGCAGCUUUGUCAGCUGGUGCUGGGGCUACCUAGGACGUAGUGUGAGGGUUGUCAUCCCCUCAUGUGUUGUUAACCGGAUCCGCCUACAGUUUCCUGAUCCAGCGGGACAGUAUGUUGGGUUCCGGCCACCCCUCGACUGAAUCGUGACACAUGCUGGGCAAUCACCUCUUCUUUGGAAGGUUUUUCAUACUGUGAUGACAGAGGAGGUGGAAUGGGGAUUGCAUGCAGCUCUUCCGCAUAUGGCUUGGGGUCCACAAAGACUUUAUGUAACAGAAGGCUCAUAAGGUCAUCGACAUAGUCUGUAAAGAACAGAAUACUGAGUCCCUCUAUGGGUUUAUAUAAUUACUGAUAAAUAAUCUACCUUUGUUUUAUAAUUAACAUUUGUGUAAUAUUUAUAAAUAUUUUUUGUAAGCUUAUAUUUAUUUCAUUAUAGCUUUUGUUAUAUUAUUGUUAAUAAAACAUUUUACAACUUA